rnacentral:lncRNA from 1 species
CUCCUCACCCUACCCUAAUAUAUAUGUCCGAACAAGCUCUUACCCCCCAGUUCCAAACAAUUCCAUUCUCACCUUCUCAGAUUUAGAAUCAAACCCUAGCACUGCCCUAACACCCCUUACCCUCUCCGGUGGCAGCGCCAUCCCAAACCGCCUCCAAAACUACACAUCAUAAUCCCCAGCCCCUCCUCUUCUUAAACCCUAAAACAAUUUCCCUCAAUUCCUUCCCCAUCACCUUGAAUUUUAGAUCUCAGAUCCAAGCCCUAAAACCCAAAAUCACCUUACCCCAGAUCUUUAACAUGCAAGGUUUAGGCCUUCAAGUUUCCGAGUUUCGAAGGUUGAUUUAACUGAAUUAGAUACUAGUCGCUGGUUCUUGGCAAAUAACAGGCGGUUAACAUUAGUUUGGGUUUGUUUUCUAGUUUCUUUUUCCUAUUCAUUUGAAUUCGUUUGGUUUAUUUGUUCGCCUUGUUAGUUGUUAUUCAUGUCAGUAGGUCCAUUCUUUCUUCUUUUCCUUUUUUUCGUGUCCGUUUUUCUUAUCUUUAUUUGUUUUUGGUUUGAAUUAGUUAUAGUUCAUUUAAAAUCAGUAGUUCUGAUUAUUCGAAUGCGUGAUUAGGAUUGAUAUUUUAUUAUGAUUUUCUUUUUGAUUUUUCAUUUUGGUCUAAUUUGUUUAGGGUUAGUCGUCAAUUUUGAACUAAUACUUAGCUUGUUAAAGUGUUUGUUGAAACAGAUUUCUUUUUCCUUCGUUCCAGCUCUUUUCUUCUUUCUUUUAUUUCAGUUUACCCUUAGUUCAACCUGGGUUAGAGCUUGAGCUUCAAUGCCCUUUUGGUUGAUUUAAGUAUUAGCUAUGGGCUUUUGGUCAUCUCUGACCCGUUUCAAGAAGCCCUUUCAUUUUUGGUUUGGGUCUUGGCUUAAAUUAUACCCAUGUGAUUUGCUUAGGGUAAAUAACAGAGUUUUAAAGGGUAAUUUGGAUAAAAAGGAUCUGGUGUAACUAACUAGGAAGCUGCUAGAAAAGUGGGUAGUGGGAUUGAUUUGACAAACAUGCUAGAAAUUUGGGGUUUAACUUGAAAAAAUAAAAAAUGGGGAAGGGGUAAUUGGAAAACAAUAGGGUCAUUUCUGCUGCUCUAAAGGCCCUCUAUAAGAGGCCUAUUUCUUUCUUUUCAAGUCAGACUUUAGGGAAGACCAGGCACUGAAAUUGAGAAACGGCUGAAGGAAUACUCUGUAAGGAUACUGAACUUUCUGCAUUCUUUGUUCAAAAUUGGCUUAGGGUCUGCUUUUAAUCUUUUUAACUUGAAACCUUCAAGAAUUUCUGGUUCAUUCUUGGUAAAAAAUGGUUUAGAAGAACCGAGUUUUGCUGUUGUUUGAUUUGCUGAGCUGCAAGCUGCUACUGUUGUUGAUUCUUUCACCUUUCUUUGCUUUGAUUUUCCCAGGUACUUCUUGGAUUUUGUUAAUAUGAGAAGUGUAGUUGGAAGCCCUGUAAUUGACUUAAAUAGUUGUGGAUGAAUGUUAGCUAAAUACUAGUCUAUGUUCUUCAAAGUUUACCUGGUUAUUCCAUAUUGAUUUAGCCUUACUAUUUUGAACUUUAUUGUAUUCAACUAUGCUUAGAUAGUACAUUUUGGACUGUAUUUGAAUUCCCUUUGUCAUGUACUUAAUUAUGACUGUUGUAGCAUGGGUUAUUGUAUGCGAGUAACAUCUUCUUUUGAGAGGUUUGAUUGAAUUGUUUCAAACCAGUAGGGAUAAUUAGCCCACAAUGAGUUUUUCUUAUAAUCAUGCUACACCUAGCAGUAAUUAUACUCGGUGGAAAUUAUUUGGGAAUUGCUUCUUUCAAAGUUUGGUUUUGGAUGAAAGUUCAGCUUUAGUAUUAUAAGUAUGAGGAUGGAUAUGAAUGUUAUAAUGUUGAUUUUGAGUAAAUUUCAGAAGGUGAUAUCUUGGUAUGAUUAAUGGCAUGUGUGUUGGAAUCAUUGUGAGAUUAACUAGUAGUUUUUCAUAAUUUAG